UACGGAGGGUGCAAGCGUUGUUCGGAAUUAUUGGGCGUAAAGCGCGUGUAGGCGGGACACUAAGUCUGGUGUGAAAGCCCUCGGCUUAACCGAGGAAUAGCAUUGGAUACUGGUGACCUUGAGUCCUGGAGAGGGUGGCGGAAUUCCCAGUGUAGAGGUGAAAUUCGUAGAUAUUGGGAGGAACACCAGUGGCGAAGGCGGCCACCUGGACAGUGACUGACGCUGAGACGCGAAAGCAUGGGUAGCAAACAGG
rnacentral:rRNA from 1 species